CACUCCUCACUCCUCCACAGCUCCUGCCUCCCUUCCAAAUAUAGUCACUUCGGACUCCAACAAACCAAGAUGGUGAUGGCCAAAAUGCCAAACUCCUUCAGAACAGGAGUCCACAAACCAAUGGGUGAUAUCACGUGGUCUGCAGCUUGGCAGGUGUCUCGCCUUGGUGACAUCCAUGAUCUCUUUGACCUCCAGAUGACAAAUCUGCUGCUCUCCCUCACCUGCUCCUGGUAAAUUUCCACUCACCUGCACCCUGCUAGCCAGCCCCGCCUCCUCAUCAAGACAACCCCACUCACCUGUGCACACAGCUGCUCCUCAUCAGCACUCCCUGCAUAUAAGCAGCUGCUGCCUUUCCCUCACUGCCAGAUUGUGCUUCAACCUCAUGCAAGACAUUCCAGCACUCACUCUUGGCUUGAGUCCCCGGUACCAACCCUGCUUGUUCAUGACCUGUCUAUGUCGUCUGUCUCCUGGUAAACUCACCAGCCUUCUGUCCCUGACCACGAGUUCUGCCUCAGGGUCUCUGGUUUCCGUCUGCCUGUGUCUGUGUGGUGUUUUCCUGCCACAACUUUUUAAAGUGAGUGUUCCUACCUGCUGUCAGUUGCCUGCUGUGAGACACCACACACUGCCUUGUGUGUGUGUGUGUGUGUGUUCAUCUUUUACCUACCUGUCGACUCAUUCCCUGGACCCUGAACCCAGAGAAUGUGUAUGGGCUCUGUGCCCUGCUUGUGUUCCUAUUACCUUGUGUAUAAUAAAGGUUAUUACCAACUGUC